rnacentral:rRNA from 2 species
AGAGUUUGAUCAUGGCUCAGAUUGAACGCUGGCGGCAGGCCUAACACAUGCAAGUCGAGCGGUAGCACAGAGAGCUUGCUCUCGGGUGACGAGCGGCGGACGGGUGAGUAAUGUCUGGGAAACUGCCUGAUGGAGGGGGAUAACUACUGGAAACGGUAGCUAAUACCGCAUAAUGUCGCAAGACCAAAGUGGGGGACCUUCGGGCCUCAUGCCAUCAGAUGUGCCCAGAUGGGAUUAGCUAGUAGGUGGGGUAACGGCUCACCUAGGCGACGAUCCCUAGCUGGUCUGAGAGGAUGACCAGCCACACUGGAACUGAGACACGGUCCAGACUCCUACGGGAGGCAGCAGUGGGGAAUAUUGCACAAUGGGCGCAAGCCUGAUGCAGCCAUGCCGCGUGUGUGAAGAAGGCCUUCGGGUUGUAAAGCACUUUCAGCGGGGAGGAAGGCGGUGAGAUUAAUAACCUCAUCGAUUGACGUUACCCGCAGAAGAAGCACCGGCUAACUCCGUGCCAGCAGCCGCGGUAAUACGGAGGGUGCAAGCGUUAAUCGGAAUUACUGGGCGUAAAGCGCACGCAGGCGGUCUGUCAAGUCGGAUGUGAAAUCCCCGGGCUCAACCUGGGAACUGCAUUCGAAACUGGCAGGCUAGAGUCUUGUAGAGGGGGGUAGAAUUCCAGGUGUAGCGGUGAAAUGCGUAGAGAUCUGGAGGAAUACCGGUGGCGAAGGCGGCCCCCUGGACAAAGACUGACGCUCAGGUGCGAAAGCGUGGGGAGCAAACAGGAUUAGAUACCCUGGUAGUCCACGCCGUAAACGAUGUCGAUUUGGAGGUUGUGCCCUUGAGGCGUGGCUUCCGGAGCUAACGCGUUAAAUCGACCGCCUGGGGAGUACGGCCGCAAGGUUAAAACUCAAAUGAAUUGACGGGGGCCCGCACAAGCGGUGGAGCAUGUGGUUUAAUUCGAUGCAACGCGAAGAACCUUACCUGGUCUUGACAUCCACAGAACUUUCCAGAGAUGGAUUGGUGCCUUCGGGAACUGUGAGACAGGUGCUGCAUGGCUGUCGUCAGCUCGUGUUGUGAAAUGUUGGGUUAAGUCCCGCAACGAGCGCAACCCUUAUCCUUUGUUGCCAGCGGUCCGGCCGGGAACUCAAAGGAGACUGCCAGUGAUAAACUGGAGGAAGGUGGGGAUGACGUCAAGUCAUCAUGGCCCUUACGACCAGGGCUACACACGUGCUACAAUGGCAUAUACAAAGAGAAGCGACCUCGCGAGAGCAAGCGGACCUCAUAAAGUAUGUCGUAGUCCGGAUUGGAGUCUGCAACUCGACUCCAUGAAGUCGGAAUCGCUAGUAAUCGUAGAUCAGAAUGCUACGGUGAAUACGUUCCCGGGCCUUGUACACACCGCCCGUCACACCAUGGGAGUGGGUUGCAAAAGAAGUAGGUAGCUUAACCUUCGGGAGGGCGCUUACCACUUUGUGAUUCAUGACUGGGGUGAAGUCGUAACAAGGUAACCGUAGGGGAACCUGCGGUUGGAUCACCU